UGCGGCUGAUACCAUUCACACUGAAUCUGCACAGUGCUUGAAGCAAAGGAAAUGACUCUUGAAGAAAUUAUCUACAUCACUCUGCUCUCACUUUGCACCAACAUAAGAUAUCCUUACAGAAGGCUUCUUCUGAGAACCAUCCCAUUUCUGCUUUAAGCCAGAAGGAACAUAGGUGAAAAAGUGGCAGAGUGGUUCUACCAGCAUGGUUACAAAGGGAAAAGCUGCACUAAACACUGAAGAAUGGCAAAGAAUGCACAUGGGACAGAGACGCUACAUGAGACUCACGUGAACAUAACAAGGCCUGUGUUGUACCCCUUGCCUGGAGCCAUGGAAUUUACAGGGCUAAGAUAAAAUAUUAUCCAAACAAUAAACAUGACUCCAGAGUCUUUGAUGAAC